rnacentral:rRNA from 1 species
CCUACGGGUGGCAGCAGUGGGGAAUAUUGGGCAAUGGGCGCAAGCCUGACCCAGCAAAGCCGCGUGAAGGAUGAAUGCCCUACGGGUCGUAAACUGCUUUUGCACGGGGAUAAAACCCUCCACUUGUGGAGGUCUGCAGGUACCUUGCGAAUAAGGGCCGGCUAACUCCGUGCCAGCAGCCGCGGUAAUACGGAAGGCCCGAGCGUUAUCCGGAUUCAUUGGGCUUAAGGGGAGCGUAGGCGGGCGUUAAAGUCAGCUGUAAAAUCGUGCGGCUCAACCGCGACGCGCAGUUGAAACUGGACGCCUUGAGUUCACAACAGGCAGGCGGAAUUCGUGGUGUAGCGGUGAAAUGCAUAGAUAUCACGAAGAACCCCGAUUGCGAAGGCAGCCUGCCGGGGUGUGACUGACGCUGAGGCUCGAAGGUGCGGGUAUCAAACAGGAUUAGAUACCCGAGUAGUC